GUAUGCAACUUUGUAUCACCUUAUUUACGACCAAGAGACGCAAACAUAGAAGAAGAAAUAACAGACUUAAUCUUUAGACACCUAUAGAACUAAAUAAUAUAAACUAUCCACCCUCAACUUUCUUGAUGCGUGUAUAGAACAGCAGUAUGCUUCUGAUGGACGGGCUUCAUGGCCUUAUUCAUAACGAACACCAGAUCAAUGACACCCGGACAUUGAAUAGGCAUAUAAAGAAAAGAGAACUGGGAACUGUAGAGCAUCUUGAUUCGUAUCCAAACGAAAUUUUGUAGCCAAAAAGAAAGCCUCCAGAAACUAAAGAUUAUAUUGCGAAAGAUUCGGCCAAAAGUUGUUUUGUAAAUCUAACUGGUAAAUUCUCGUCUAGCAAUUAACGGUGUACAAAUAUUCAUCAUUUACAUGCAAAGUUCACGCUCACCUCAGCAGAUGGUCUUGGAAAAUUUUGAAGUGACUAUUGUAUCAGCAGUGCCCUGGACAUCAGUACAGAUAAGAUGAAACCUUUUGUAUGCAAGUUAAUGCCGGUAAAGAUCUUGCUUAAUAAGUGUGAAAGCUUACUUGUCAAUUUUCACUAAUAGAUCCAACACCUAUCUGAUAAAAAAGUUGCAUUACGCCUGCUAAACUACUUUUGUGUACAAGAUGCUCACUAGGUGCAGUUAACAAAAGAAAAAAGAGGAAAACGUCUGGGAAUGAGAGAACGCCAAUCAAGAACCUUCUGGAAUGAGAUAACCUGAUUCUGGAAAUAAUCUGACAAGGGGUGUGCUUGCUCCAUGUUUCACAGGGAAUUAAAACCUUUACAAACUGAUAAAAUAUAUUAAUUUCGUUAAAAUAAAUGAUGGCAAAGACUCAGAGAGACAGCUAUGAUUAGAAGGCAUAUGACUACCAAAUCACACAAAUUCAAGUUCUAUUAUAAUAAAUAAAGCAUUCAGUUUCACAAGAAUAGUAAGUUUAUAUUAAAUAAUUAUGUUGUUUUCACUUUCCUCCAUGUAUACAGAGCGGUUUACAAAUGAAAAUAUCCAUGAAAACUAAUAGCACAAAAACAAGAAAGGUGUGCAGUGAACAAAUGUCAUAUUCCAUUACCAUUCUUUUAUUUUCGAACUAUGUCUAUGGCAUCGAGUAAAAAACUAGGAUAAAAAUAAGCAUAAGGAUGACUGUUGACUCAUUAAAAUGUUACAUCAUUCUCUUUGAUAUUUAUGAAACCGUCUAAUAAUGAGGUAGCUUAAAAGUCUUCUUUUACCUUAAUAUAUUUGUUGACAUUAUUAGGCUGCAGGUUCAUAGAUACGUAACUAACAUAAACCCAUAACCAAGGUUUAAAAAGGCGGAAAUGGGUAUCGAGGCGUUUUCUCUUAGCCUCAUGAGGCGUAAGCCUCGAGGCAGGUCGAGGCGUAAGCCUCGAAACAUUAUUAAAAAUGUUAAAAAAAUAUAUAUAUCUCUCUCAUAAAAAUCACAAAGUAACACAAAACAAACAUGAUAAAUAGAAAAUAGUUCAACAAACAAGGUUUAACAUAAAACAAACAUCAUAAAAUAGUUCGAACAACUUAAAUUAGUAAUGUUAUGACAUCUAAAUAUCAUAGAACUCGUUUUCCUCCGCAUCAUCAUCCUCAAAGUUUUCAUCUGGCGUAUUUAGAUCAUCAUCUUCAUCAACCAAAUUAAUAACUCUUUUCCUUUUCAUCCUAGAUGAUGAACUCUCACCUUCUUCCUCAUUUGACCCGCCAACUCCACCAAUGCCAUCUUCAUCCCCACUCGGGUUGGCUAUCCACUCAUCAUCCGAUUAGGUUUUUUUAACCUAAUAGAUGUUUUUAAGUGAACUAUUGGGUUGGCCCACCAAUUAAGCCCAAUAAACACUAAAUGGGUCUAACAUAAAGUUCGAAAAACCUAAAAUUUUUCAAUUUUCACAAGGUCUAGUCACUCUAGUGAGGCUUAAGCCUCACUGCCUCGCCUCACCGCCUCGAAAAGCCUCGGAUGACUGAGGCUUAGGUUUCAGUUGACCCCUAUGAGGCUAAGCCUUUAAGGCGUUUUUUCAUAGCCUCAGCCGAGGCGUAAGCCUCGAGGCGGGCCUCGGAAAGCCUUUUCAAACCAUGCCCAUAACGGUCACCUGCGUUAGUAAUAAAUACGGACAUGAUACAUGCAAAAAUUACCAUAUUAUUUCCAUGUUAUUCAUGAUGAACCAUGCUCAAAGACAUGAUUAAAACGUAGAGACAUGUGUGACUGCAUAGUUUAACGAGAAUCAUUUUUCUAUGCUGAGACUAUUUACUUCACUUCCACUAUUUUGUUAAAUAAUUUCGAUUAGCAUGUUGCCAACUACAUGCACCACUGUAUCCUUGUGAAAUCGUGAUCUAAGAUGUAAUACAAGGUUUCAGGCCUAACAUUCAUGACCAAUUACAAAGUAACGUACAAAAAAUGUAGUGCCAAUGUGCCAUACUGACAUAUGAGGUCUUAAAGAGUGGGCAACAAGAUAAGAAUAGUAAAAAAAAAAGAAUUAAAAAAACCUACACUUGCAAAGGGUAAUUAAGCUCACAAACAUGAUCAAACCACAAAUCUCCAUAUAUAGCUAUAAAGACCGAGUAGAUCAAUUUUCAGAAAACCAGUAUUAUAGGCAUCUAAACCUAAUAAUAGCUACAAAGCAAUCCAGUACACAUUUCAAAUAACAAAAUUUAUCUUGCAGAUUCUAAACACCAAAACUUCCAUAACUAAACAAUAUAACAUACACAACAAAAUGUAGAGAGAUAAUCAAGCUCCAAAUCAUAAUCAUAUUUCUAUAAAGACCGAGUAGAUCAAUUUGCAGAAGACAACUACUAUAGGCAUCUAAACCUAAUAUAGUUACAAAGCAAUAACAAAACAUAUCUUUCAGAUUAUAAACACCAAAAUUUCCAUACCCAAACAAUAUAGCAUAUACGACAGAAGGAAAAGAGGUAAAUGCAACUUCCUAAUUAGGUGCACAUAUCAAACAAAAUCAACCUCCAAAUCCCAAUCAUACCUCUACAAAGCUCAUCAAUUCACAUAACACCUCAAAACAUACUACAAAUAUAUAUAUAUACCUAAUUCCAAACAUCUCUCCACCUACGCCUAAACCAGAUCUAAUUACGAUUCCAACCGUUACUAACAAAUCAAGCUGUAAACGACACUCCAAAAACCCUAAAAGCCAUUAUCGUUCGCAUCUAAACCUAAUGAUAGCUACAGAAAAUCCAGUAUACAUCACAAAUAACAAAACAUAUCUUUCAGAUUCUAAACACCAAAACUUCCAUAACUAUACAACACAACAUCCAUAACAAAAGGUAAAGAGGUAAAUGCAACUUCUUAAUUAGGCACAAAUCAUGAUCAUAUCUCUAUGAGAUUCAUCAAUCCACAUAACACCUCAAAACAAUCUGAAAAUCUAUACCUAAUUCCAAACUAAACAAUAUAAACAAAAUCAGCCUCCAAAUCAUAAUUAUAUCUCUAAUUAGGUACAAAUAUUCAACAAAUCUAUACCUAAUUCCAGAUCGAAUUCAGAUUUCAAUCGUAGCUAACGAAUCCAGCUGUAAAUCACAUUUCAGAAACCCUAGAAACCAGAUCUAUAACCUACUCAACGAAAAGGAAAUGGAGAUCUGAGGUAACGUAUCAAAGAAGAAAGAAUGAUGAAAUUGAAAAUGAAAAAGGAGGAGAAUGAAGGUACCUGUAGGGUUAACGGCAUAACCUAAAGGUAGCCAGAGGAGGGAACCAGAGCGUGUGAAACAAUCAGAGAGAGAUGAGAAGAUACC
rnacentral:lncRNA from 1 species